rnacentral:rRNA from 1 species
UACGGGGGGGGCAAGCGUUGCUCGGAAUCACUGGGCGUAAAGCGCACGUAGGCGGAUUGUUAAGUCAGGGGUGAAAUCCUGGAGCUCAACUCCAGAACUGCCUUUGAUACUGGCGAUCUUGAGUCCGGGAGAGGUGAGUGGAACUGCGAGUGUAGAGGUGAAAUUCGUAGAUAUUCGCAAGAACACCAGUGGCGAAGGCGGCUCACUGGCCCGGUACUGACGCUGAGGUGCGAAAGCGUGGGGAGCAA